CCGUUUUUUUUAUUAUUUUAUAGUUGUUAUAUGUUGAUUAUGGAUCAAUAGAAAUAGUACCAAAAACAAAUGUUAGACUUUUGGCAUCACAAUUUGGGGUAUAUCUUGCUCAGGGAGUGCAUUGCGGUUUGUACGAGUUCAAUGAAUUAAAUUAUCCACGAGAAAUAAGUGAAUCUUUUGCUGAAAUGGUUGAGGACCAUCAGCUAGAAGCAAAGUUUCAUGCACCAAUAUUUGAAGACGGUUCUCAAAAAUUAACUGUGACAUUAUUUUUUAAUACUGGAAAAAAUAAAAUUAAUA